rnacentral:rRNA from 1 species
CGUGUGUGAAGAAGGCCUUUUGGUUGUAAAGCACUUUAAGCAGUGAAGAAGACUCCGUGGUUAAUACCCACGGACGAUGACAUUAGCUGCAGAAUAAGCACCGGCUAACUCUGUGCCAGCAGCCGCGGUAAUACAGAGGGUGCAAGCGUUAAUCGGAAUUACUGGGCGUAAAGCGAGCGUAGGUGGCUUGAUAAGUCAGAUGUGAAAUCCCCGGGCUUAACCUGGGAACUGCAUCUGAUACUGUUAGGCUAGAAUAGGUGAGAGGAAGGUAGAAUUCCAGGUGUAGCGGUGAAAUGCGUAGAGAUCUGGAGGAAUACCGAUGGCGAAGGCAGCCUUCUGGCAUCAUAUUGACACUGAGGUUCGAAAGCGUGGGUAGCAAACAGGAUUAGAUACCCUGGUAGUCCACGCCGUAAACGAUGUCUACUAGUCGUUGGGUCCCUUGAGGACUUAGUGACGCAGCUAA